rnacentral:rRNA from 1 species
UGAACGCUGGCGGCGUGCUUAACACAUGCAAGUCGAACGAGAACUCUCCUGCUUGCAGGAGAUAGUAAAGUGGCGCACGGGUGAGUAACGCGUGGGUAAUCUACCUUGGAAUCGGGGAUAACAAUGCGAAAGCGUUGCUAAUACCGGAUGAAGUUUUUUUCGCUUCGGCGGGGGGAACCAAAGGCGACCUCUCCACGGAAGUUGUCGUUUCAAGAUGAGCCCGCGUACCAUUAGCUGGUUGGUGGGGUAACGGCCCACCAAGGCGACGAUGGUUAGCUGGUCUGAGAGGAUGAUCAGCCACACUGGAACUGACACACGGUCCAGACUCCUACGGGAGGCAGCAGUGAGGAAUUUUGCGCAAUGGGGGAAACCCUGACGCAGCAACGCCGCGUGAGUGAUGAAGGCCUUCGGGUCGUAAAGCUCUGUCUGGUGGGAAGAACCUCGGGAUUCGGACAACGGAUUCGGACUGACGGUACCACCGAAGGAAGCACCGGCUAACUCCGUGCCAGCAGCCGCGGUAAUACGGAGGGUGCGAGCGUUAUUCGGAAUUAUUGGGCGUAAAGGACGCGUAGGCGGUUUUGUAAGUCAGAUGUGAAAGCCCGGGGCUUACCCCUGGAAGUGCAUUUGAAACUACGAGACUUGAGUAUGGGAGAGGGAAGCGGAAUUCCUGGUGUAGAGGUGAAGUUCGUAGAUAUCAGGAGGAACACCGGUGGCGAAGGCGGCUUCCUGGACCAAUACUGACGCUGAGGCGCGAAGGCGUGGGGAGCAAACAGGAUUAGAUACCCUGGUAGUCCACAGCAGUACAGCGGUGAUCACUAGUUGUAGCGGGUAACGACCCCUGCUGUCGCCGGAGAUAAAGCAAGAAAGUGAUCCGCGUGGGGACUACGGCAGCAAGGUUACAACUCAAAGGAAAUCGACGGGGGCCACGAACAAGCGAUCGAGCAUGUGGUUUAAUUCGGACGCAACGCGAAGAACCUUACCUGGGUUAGACACUGCCCAGGCAAUCCCCUUGAAAGAAGGGGACUGCCCUUCAGGCGGAGCACUAGCGAGACACGGUACUGCAUGGCAUGUCGCUCAGCUUCGUGUACGAUGAGAUGUUGAGGUUAACUCCACGCAGCGAGCGCAACCCCUAUCGUUACGCAGCCAUCAAUUAGGUUGCGGAAUCUAGACGACUACCGCCUCGGUCAACAGGGAGGAAGGUGGGGAUGACAGUCAAGUCCUCACGGCAAUUACGCCCAGGGCAUACACACGUGCUACAAUGCNCAGUACAAAGGGUAGCGAGCCCGCGAGGGUGAGCCAAUCCCAAAAAGCGGUCCGUAGUUCGGAUUGGAGU